rnacentral:rRNA from 1 species
GGAGUUAGCCGGUGCUUCUUCUGCGAGUAACGUCACAGAUGUAAGGUAUUAACUUACACCCUUUCCUCCUCGCUGAAAGUGCUUUACAACCCGAAGGCCUUCUUCACACACGCGGCAUGGCUGCAUCAGGGUUUCCCCCAUUGUGCAAUAUUCCCCACUGCUGCCUCCCGUAGGAGUCUGGGCCGUGUCUCAGUCCCAGUGUGGCUGAUCAUCCUCUCAGACCAGCUAGGGAUCGUCGCCUAGGUGAGCCUUUACCUCACCUACUAGCUAAUCCCACCUGGGCUUAUCCAUCAGCGCAAGGCCCGAAGGUCCCCUGCUUUCCCCCGUAGGGCGUAUGCGGUAUUAGCAGUCGUUUCCAACUGUUAUCCCCCACAAAUGGGCAAAUUCCCAGGCAUUACUCACCCGUCCGCCGCUCGUCAUCUUCAAAGCAAGCUUUUGAAUGUUACCGCUCGACUUGCAUGUGUUAGGCCUGCCGCCAGCGUUCAAUCUGAGCCANGANACAACUCUGA